UGAACAAUGCCAUGUAUUAUUAUAUUAAUGUCAAAAAUCCCCGACGUCCAUUAACUAUGACAUAUUUCAUUGCUAAAAUUUUUGCCUUAAAUAUCGUGAAGAAAAAUGACUUCUCUACCGUUUAGUAGAGAAAAAGUACAGAUGUAACUCUUUAACACUUAACAGUCUUCAGGAACACCAUUUCUUUUUGUUGGAGAUCAUUUUUCACACCAACAUUUGUGCAACAUUUUUGCAAAACACACUUCAUUUUUCAAACUUGAGCAGACCUCACCUGAUUUCCUAUCUAUUGCUGCUAGUGCCAUUAUUUACUGCAGUGUCAUUUUCACUAGACAACCUCAUCAUUUACACAUAACAAGACCAAUUCUCUGUAUCCUUGCUUUGUCAACAUCUGCAUUCUAACUGCUGUGCAUAACACACAUUGUAAUUUUUUGCACCUCAAACUAAACAUAUUAAUUCACUGUCGAUGACAUUUUAAGGGACUUUCAGUACCAUUUGUUAAAGUUUGUAGAUUUUUGAAUUUUGAGAUAAAUCAUGGGAGAAAGUUUGCUAGCUGGUUAGUUACACAAUACCUCCUGUAUUUACUCUUAGCAUUUUUCUUAAAAACAUCUCCAUCCCUCUAGAAGGAACAAUAAUUCUUAAAACAUGAUUUUAAUUAAUAAUGUAAGAAAAUUUCACAUAAAUUUAAAACUCUUUUGUGCAACAAUUGUCUUUACAUGCUUUUUCAUUGAUUAAAGGUAUUUCCAAUCUUUUGUAUGAUUUAUCAAAAUGUGUAAAAUUGCCCAUUGGCAAAAUUGUUCAGUGUGAGCAAGCUAGGUGUUUACAGUAGCUACCUGUGUAGGUUCAGUACCCUGCGAUUCCGAAAACAUAUUAUACAAGACACAUUUUAACACAAAUAUUUGGUGCUUAUCUCAUUAUUUUGACAUUGUGUUCCUGUAUACUUCAGAAAUACUGUUGCUGCUCAGAAACAAUUCAACUUGAGCAAGACAAAAUAUCUUUCUGCUGAUUCAAAGCAAGAAGUCAAUUCAUUUCUCCAAAGCAUUAUCAAAAUAAUUCAAAAACUGGGAUCAGGUGCCAAAAAGUGACAUCUGUGUGUUUUCUGAGCAGGCUUCUGCAGCUGAAAGGAAAUUCCUUCACCAUCAUGUCCCCCUAUCACCUAUUAUUUUUCAUCGUAUUGUCUGUUGCUAGUCUGUCUUUCUAACAGUAUCGCAUCAUCUGAAUAAUCUAUACUUUAUAAUCCACAGAUAUGAAUUUUUUUCUCUAAUAUUAUAUAUAUAUAUAUUUCUCCCAGAGACAAUUAUCGAUAAAUGUUUCUGCAACUGUUGCACUUUUUACUCCAUGGCUGACAAAUUGCACAGUUUCAUAAAGCCCAGUGGCCUAUUGGAAUUUGACAUUAUUAAACGGCAAUUAGAUGCCUGUGUUGCAUCAGUCUUGUUAUUGUAAUCUACAGAAGGUGGUCCCCCUGUAAACUGUUCACAUGCUCUUUGACUGAGUCUGCCUACCAGAAUUUCUUACAGCAGACCUUAAUGAGGGAAGCACGCAUUGUCUGCAAUAAAACUCCACUGAACACUUUUUCAAUUCUUUUUAGAUGUUUGCUUCUAGCUUUUCUUCCCAAAGUAAUGUACUACUGAAAUAAAAAUUGACUUCUUUUUUUCUUGUUUUGAAUUCCGAGUGGAUCCUUGAACUUUAAUUUACGAUAUCCCUGCUCAGGGUACACAGUAGUCCUUCCGAUCUAUAUCAAGAAAUUCUCCCUUUGAUAUGCUAAAUUCUUUCCUCUUGUUUUGCUGACACUCAGUACUGUGAUAUCCUAGGGAAUAGUCUUUGAAAAGAGUGCUGACUGAUGACUAAAAGUUCUUCUGCUAUGCAAAAAGCAAUCUUUCAAUGAGCUGCCCAAACUAUAGUCUUUCUACAUCCAGCAGUUGAUAGGCAUUCACUACAUGUGUUAAAGUAUUCUAAAGUGUCUAUGUUGUAGUGUAAACAUCCAAAGAAACGGUUUUGUUGUCUUGUAUAUGAAUAAAGGCAUGUUUUCUCUAUUGUGCACAAUAAAGGAGGGGAAAUGCAGAUGUUUUAUUGCAUUUCGAGUAGAAGAAGUCAGCAAUACAGAUGAGAAAACAAAAGGUAGGAAAAUGAGAAUUAAACAAAUCUACUGCGCUAGAACUAAAGCCGUCAAAUACACAGACCAGAGGCAACCAGAAAAAGAGGAAAUGCUGAAAUAAUAUUCUAGAAACACAUAGGCUGUAAUGGUGUCAAUCACCAAACUUCAAUUAUUCUAACAAUUCAAUCCUAUUAAUUUGCUUGAUACCAUUCCUAUCCGUAUCAGCAGGAAAACUCAGGAGAAAAAGUACAUAGGCAACUAAAAUCACAAUGAAAGGCAAUCUCUCUUUGGCAUCAGUAUAAAUUCAGUACAUGUAACUAUAAAUCUGUGUCUUUAAUAUCAUGGAUACAUAUCUUUGAUUUCCAAGGGUGGCCAUCGUUAAUAGUGUCUGAAAUUGCAGGAAUUCAACUUUUUGAAGAUCACCUGCCUGAUGCCGCAGAGAACAUUUCUGGAGGUUGAACAAGAAAAACAAACUAUGAAGACUCCCCAAAGCGAAGUCAGGUCGGCCUUCCCCAGCCCUGUUUGAAUUAUUUCACAGUUUUUAUGUCCAUUAGAAACUAGUAUAGGAGGGGCCACUAAUUUCAUGUCUGAGUAAUGAAUUUAUUUUUCUUAGCAAUGUAAUGUAAUCAUGCAGUCCCCCACAUGGAAAGGUUCCCAUCACCUGUUUAAUAGCACUAACGGAAAAUCUUUAUCAUAGAUAUCUCAAACUGUAUUCAGAUAUCUCAGAAAUCGGUACGAUGAAUUAACAUCAGAUGAAUGGGUUUUUUUGUUGUUGUAAUUUUUAGACAUUUUAACAGCUUAGCAAACAGAAUUCUAUUGCAUUUUAAUCCUAUAGAUCCUUUACAAUUAUAGAGCCUUAAAACUAUCUUAUUAGAUACCAACUGCCACUGGAUAAUUCAAAGAACCAAUAGUUCAAAAUAUGAAUGAUAAUCAAGUCAUAGGCACUUUUCAAUAACUAAAUUUUGUUAUCUAUUGGCAUGGAAAAAUGGCUUAACAUUCCAAUCCUUAAGCCAUUUCACCCAUUGACCCCAAAAUAAUUCUGAUAAAUUGUUUGAUUCGUCUGCAUCAGGACCUUUGCUGAUUUUCCAAUGGAAGUGAUGCAGAAUUUUCAUUACUUUCCUUGAGCGAUGUUUACCCUUUAGAUAGCCCAAGCAGAACAGCCAUACAGCACUGUUAGUUUAAGUUAAAAUGAAAAUUGGAAAUACAGAUGUUGAAAAUUUAUCUUAAGGUAGAACUGAUGUGCAGUGAUUGACACCAUCAUGGUGGAAUCUAACGGGAUCACUUUACUUUGAUGUGUUAGACAUGACGACUGUAUAAGCAUUAUGGAUGGAUCAUUGCCUCGUCUCAUGCAGCUCAACUUUAGUACAGAUGUGUUUAGCAGUUUAUUGGCAGACCAGGGAUCCACUUUACAACAGUGGACUUGCAAGGUGGGUGGAUCCACUUCAGGUCAGAGCACAUUGCACGAUGGGUGGAUCCACUUCAGGUCAGAGCACAUGCACGGCGGGUGGAAUGAAUCCUAAUCUAGACAAAACUUUUGCCAAUCAACACUUUCUGUUUGAUAGAAUUAUGCUUCCAGAAUGUCCAAGAAUUCCGUUUAUGCUGUAUUUCAAACUGUUCUAAGCCAUUUGUUUCCUUUAUUUGUUUAUAGAAUGAGUAAUCAAGCCUUAUAAACAUCUGAUAAGGUCACAGCAGUGUUAAUAUUAAAAAUUUGAAAAAUCAAA